rnacentral:rRNA from 2 species
AAGUCCUUAGGGUGCUGCUGGCUUCUU